AAAAAAAAUAUUACAAAACUGUGAAGGUCAUGUUUUGAUAUCGCAAAUAAAUCAAGAUUUAAUCUAUUAGUGGUCUGUAGUAAAUGAUAUACAUAAACUCGUAACACAGUAGACAACCAUGUAGCUUUUCUCUUUUCUACGUGCUGCUUCAAGAACAACUUUCCACGAAUUGUAUAUCCGACCUCUUCAGGACGAAUACAUGUAUCAAAUAGAAUGAAGCCAUGGUCGCCAGAUGACGACAUUCUCAAAAGUGAAAUAAUGGUGUGUGCGCAUUUUAUUUUUGUGACACUGCUUGAUUGUUCUAUAUCCUCCAGUAAACAUACUGCUAAGAAAAGCAAAGGAACCACCACCAAGAAGAUUUAGUAUCGAACAAGAUUAGAAGUGCAGCAUAUGUAUACAUAUAGUUACUACGGGGAGCAUUUGGAGUUCACUUGUCAAACUUUUUGUGUUAUGCAAGAUAGCAUUAUUGUAAAAUCUGAUUACGAUCAAAUUUGGCAUAGACAAUAAUCAAAUUCUAUGAUUAUCUCAUAACUGCAACUUGUUCUACAGGAGCUAUAACUACACCAAAGAAUAAAUGCUACUAACUCAAGAAGACUUAUGGUAAUACUAGAUUAUUUCUUCUUUGUUUCUGGUUAUUUGUAACAUUAUAAAUAUGAUUUUUCUCUAAUUUUAAGGCAUUAUAUUUAUACAAAUCUGUCUUUGUAUUUCUGUCUCAAUUACUUUCUAUUCUAUAAUUUCUAUUUUCUACACAGUAUUGGAGGUAGUUUAAUCCAAUCCCGAGUAAAGAGGUCUCCACUUUCAUUCUCUUAACCAACUGAAAAUUUGUGGUUAUCACAGGAUGAAAAGACACAUAUUCCCUAUUCAUAUUUGCUUUGAUAUGACACCUAUUUCGACAUCAGUUGAGUCAAAGCUAGCCAAUUUCAAUUACAGUAAUUGUUCAAGUUACUCUAGAAACUUAAAAUUACAAUUUUUUUUUUUUAAUGAUAUGUUAAAAUCAUCUAAUGGUGAAUUAAGUGAUUUUCUUCCUUGUGUUACACUGAUUGUAUUAUAUCCAUCUUAAUCAAAAGAAAUCUGGAUCAUAAUAUUCUUAAAAUUACAUUUUUUUUUUUUUUU
rnacentral:lncRNA from 1 species